UACGAGGGGUGCGAAACGUUAUUCGGAAUUACUGGGUGUAAAGGGUACGUAGACGGCAUCUUAAGUCAAUUGUUAAAUUCCCUGGCUUAACUAGGGCAGGCGAUUGAAACUAAGAAGCUAGAGAGUGGAAGAGAGAAGUAGAAUUCUCGGAGUAGCGGUAAAAUGCGUAGAUCUACGAGAGGAACACCGAUGGCGAAGGCAGCUUCUUGGUCCAUAUCUGACGUUGAGGUACGAAAGCGUGGGGAGCAAACAGG
rnacentral:rRNA from 1 species